GAAUAUUGGACAAUGGGGGCAACCCUGAUCCAGCAAUGCCGCGUGUGUGAAGAAGGCCUGCGGGUUGUAAAGCACUUUCAGUAGAGAAGAAAAGCCUAAGGUUAAUAACCUUGAGUCUUGACGUAACCUACCGAAGAAGCACCGGCUAACUCCGUGCCAGCAGCCGCGGUAAUACGGAGGGUGCAAGCGUUAAUCGGAAUUACUGGGCGUAAAGGGCUCGUAGGCGGCCAACUAAGUCGGAUGUGAAAUCCCCAGGCUCAACCUGGGAACUGCAUCCGAUACUGGAUGGCUUGAAUCCGGGAGAGGGAUGCAGAAUUCCAGGUGUAGCGGUGAAAUGCGUAGAUAUCUGGAGGAAUACCGGUGGCGAAGGCGGCAUCCUGGACCGGCAUUGACGCUGAGGAGCGAAAGCCAGGGGAGCAAACGG
rnacentral:rRNA from 1 species